GUGGUUGCUUCAGCAGCACAUAGACUAAAAUAACGAUACAGAGAUUAGCAGGGCCUUGUGCAAGGAUGACAUGCAAAUUCAUGAAGAAAAUUCUGAUUAU
ensembl:snRNA U6 U6 spliceosomal RNA